rnacentral:rRNA from 2 species
UACGUAGGGUGCAAGCGUUAAUCGGAAUUACUGGGCGUAAAGCGUGCGCAGGUGGUUUUACAAGACCGACGUGAAAUCCCCGGGCUCAACCUGGGAAUGGCGUUGGUGACUGUAAGACUAGAGUGUGGCAGAGGGGGGUGGAAUUCCACGUGUAGCAGUGAAAUGCGUAGAGAUGUGGAGGAACACCGAUGGCGAAGGCAGCCCCCUGGGCUAACACUGACACUCAUGCACGAAAGCGUGGGGAGCAAACAGG